UCUCGGCAAAUUAUCCUCAUAAGUUAGAUGAAAAGAGGUACCAMUUUAUGUUUACUAUAUUUAAUAUUAAAAAUAWUAAAAAUUUUAAAAAUAAGGAGGUGGCACAGAAUCGGAGGCCCCGACUGUUUACUAAAAACACAUCUCUGUGCAAUCAUUAAUAUGGUAGUAUACAGAGAGAGAUUUGCCCGAUGCCAUUAAUAUAAGAGAGGUCAUAGUUUGUGACUGGUCGAAAAUCUGGUUAAUAGCGGUCUUAACCAUGAGGAUCCUAAGGUAGCAUAAUCAAUUGGCCAUUAAAUGUGGUCUUGUAUCAAUAAUGUAACGAUGGUCUCACUGUCUCUACAACUUGCUCAGUGAAAWUGAANNUUACCCGKGCAGGAUGCGGGUUAUCUUCAGGGGGACGGGAAGACCCUAUGCUCUUCGACUGA
rnacentral:rRNA from 1 species